CUUAUUCCUAGAGGGGUCUUCGAAGUUGAAUCCACCCUGUAAUCUGGUUCUGAAGAGUCUGAAUCAUUCCUACUGCAGAGAAACCAAAAUGUUUCAGAAAGUCUCUGCAGUCUGCACUCUGAGAAACUCAAACUCUUCUGUCUGGACCAUCAGCAGCCAGUUUGUUCUGUCUGCAGAGAUUCAACCACAGAUUCAGGCCCAUCGAUGAAGCUGCUCAGCAACACAGGAAGAAACUUCAGGAAACUCUGAAACCUUUAAAGAAGAAACUGGAGCUGAAGAAGGAAGUUAAAGAAAAGUUUGAUCAGACAGCAGAACACAUGAAGGUCCAGGCCCGACACACAGAGAGGCAGAUUGUUGAGCAGUUUAAGAAGCUUCAUCAGUUUCUAGCAGAGGAAGAGGAGGCCAGGCUGGCUGCACUGAGGGAGGAAGAGGAGCAGAAGAGAGGGAUGAUGAAGGAGAAGAUGGAGGCUCUGAGCAGAGAGAUAGCAGCUCUUUCAGACACAGUCAGAGCCACAGAGAGGAGCAGAA